AUGAACCGGCGAGUUACGAUUUGAUGCAAGGUUAAGCAGUAAAUGUGGAGCCGUAGCGAAAGCGAGUCUGAAUAGGGCGUUUAGUAUUUGGUCGUAGACCCGAAACCAGGUGAUCUACCCUUGGUCAGGUUGAAGUUCAGGUAACACUGAAUGGAGGACCGAACCGACUUACGUUGAAAAGUGAGCGGAUGAACUGAGGGUAGCGGAGAAAUUCCAAUCGAACCUGGAGAUAGCUGGUUCUCUCCGAAAUAGCUUUAGGGCUAGCCUCAAGUGAUGAUUAUUGGAGGUAGAGCACUGUUUGGACGAGGGGCCCCUCUCGGGUUACCGAAUUCAGACAAACUCCGAAUGCCAAUUAAUUUAACUUGGGAGUCAGAACAUGGGUGAUAAGGUCCGUGUUCGAAAGGGAAACAGCCCAGACCACCAGCUAAGGUCCCAAAAUAUAUGUUAAGUGGAAAAGGAUGUGGCGUUGCCCAGACAACUAGGAUGUUGGCUUAGAAGCAGCCAUCAUUUAAAGAGUGCGUAAUAGCUCACUAGUCGAGUGACACUGCGCCGAAAAUGUACCGGGGCUAAACAUAUUACCGAAGCUGUGGAUUGUCCUUUGGACAAUGGUAGGAGAGCGUUCUAAGGGCGUUGAAGCAUGAUCGUAAGGACAUGUGGAGCGCUUAGAAGUGAGAAUGCCGGUGUGAGUAGCGAAAGACGGGUGAGAAUCCCGUCCACCGAUUGACUAAGGUUUCCAGAGGAAGGCUCGUCCGCUCUGGGUUA
rnacentral:rRNA from 1 species